AUUGAACGCUGGCGGCAUGCUUUACACAUGCAAGUCGAACGGUAACAGGCCUUCGGGCGCUGACGAGUGGCGAACGGGUGAGUAAUGCAUCGGAACGUGCCCAGUCGUGGGGGAUAACUAUCCGAAAGGAUAGCUAAUACCGCAUACGAUCUGCGGAUGAAAGCGGGGGACCUUCGGGCCUCGCGCGAUUGGAGCGGCCGAUGUCAGAUUAGGUAGUUGGUGGGGUAAAGGCUCACCAAGCCAACGUUCUGUAGCUGGUCUGAGAGGACGACCAGCCACACUGGGACUGAGACACGGCCCAGAGUCCUACGGGAGGCAGCAGUGGGGAAUUGUGGACAAUGGGCGCAAGCCUGAUCCAGCAAUGCCGCGUGCAGGAAGAAGGCCUUCGGGUUGUAAACUGCUUUUGUACGGAACGAAACGGCUCUGGUUAAUACCCGGGGCUAAUGACGGUACCGUAAGAAUAAGCACCGGCUAACUACGUGCCAGCAGCCGCCGCAG
rnacentral:rRNA from 1 species